GACGAACGCUGGCGGCGUGCUUAACACAUGCAAGUCGAACGGGAUCCGGGCGUUCGGGUUUGGUGAGAGUGGCGAACGGGUGAGUAACACGUGAGUAACCUGCCCCCUUGUUUGGGGUAACGCCGGGAAAUCGUCGGUAUUACUGGAGAUUGUUGCUGCAGCUCCUGGUGGGGUGUGGGAAAGGUUUCGGGGGGGGGAUUGGCUGCGGGGCUAUUAGCUUGGUGGUUGGGGUAUGGCCUUCCAAGGCUUUGACGGGUAGCCGGCCUGAGAGGGGGUCCGGGCACACUGGGACUGAGACACGGCCCCGACGACUACGGGAGGAAGCCGUGGGGAAUCAUGCACGAGGGGCGCAAGCCUGAUGCAGCGAGGCCGCGUGAGGGAUGACGGGCUUCGGGUGGUAAACCUCUUUUAGUAUGGAACAAGGAUCUUUGUUUUGGGGGGUUUGAGGGUACGUGCAGAAGAAGCGCCGGCUAACUACGUG
rnacentral:rRNA from 1 species